AAUCCCCAACCCGGGUAAUGAGGUUUUUAGGGUGACACUGGCUUACGGUUCAGGUCGAGCCAUUUCUGUUACCCCAAACUUUUAACAUCACCUCCUAGUCCUUACACUUUUUACUAGCCUUCCAAGCCAUCCUUUUUUAAAAAAAACUUAAUUGUAUUAUUUUACGUGUAUAGGUGUUUUGUUUGUGUAUGCCUGCAUCAUGUGCCUAGAUGCCCGCAGUCAGAAUUGGGUAACGGAUUCCCUGGAACAAGAGUUACAAACAUUUGUGAGACUAGGAAUUUUACCCAGAUCCUCUGAAAGAGCUUUUCCAACGCACAGCGGACACUGACUGAGGUGGCUAUGCCCUACUGGAACUUCACAGCUACUCCAGUCUGACAGUCUUCCAGGAUCUCCACGGGGCAAUGAGGCAGGAAAUUUAUGGCUUGGCCUGAUUAAUGGGCCAAGCAGUUAGGAGUUGGUUGCCAGGCUAGUCGCAUAAUUUAACGUUUCCAGGCAGGAGAAGAGGCCUCUAACUCACACCUUUCAAGGGCUCUGGGAGCAGGAGGUGCAGGGGAUCAUUGAGACAUCUAUGCUCCUCCAAGCCCUGGUGUCCUCCUGUGUCGCCUCCCACUGCAGCCACAGAACAAGCUAUCUGAAUGAGUCCACACAGGAAAAGACCUUACGCCCAACCUGGCAGAAAGAAAAGGAAUCAUGUGAACGUCACAUUUGGCCUGGGCUCAGAGUGAAGGGCUCAGCGGGUCUGCGCUCUGGGCUUGCUUGGACUCCACAGUAGAGCGAUCUCAUUGGCGUGAAGCCUUGAUGGUCCCCUGCUCUGACUCCCUUGGGUCCUUUCAAGACACUCUGCUUAACAGAUCCUGUGACAUACCGGGGAGACACACACGAUGUGCUAUACGCAACGUGAAGCAGAACAAACGGCCCAAGGCAUGCAGGUGCUGCUUGGUGUGUGCUGAAAGGGUGCAUCAGGGUCUGAAGGACCAGAGAGAUGGAGCGCUCCCAUGAGGGACACAGGGAGCUGCUGCUGUCAGCCGGAAACUCAGGGAUACGUCUAGGGCCGAGAAACUCAUUUCCCAUUUUCUGCAGAUGACAUAGAGACCAAGAAUCUAGGAAUCAAGGACUGUGAAGGUGGGGGAACCUCCCUGCACUGAUGGAUGGCCACUUUAGCAUUAGAAAUCAAUAUUCUCCUCACUUUAACUUUUGCUGCAAAUAUUUGCGGUUUUGCAUUUAGAAGGGGAAAGGGACAUUUGAUCCGGGCACGGCUCUCACGCCUUUGGGGUUGAGUGGCCCUUUCAUAGUGGUCUCCAGGACCAUCGGAAAACAAAUAUUUACGUUCUGAUUCAUAGCAGUAGCAAAAC
rnacentral:sRNA from 1 species